CAAGUCGAGGGGUAACAGGUCUGAUUUUCGGAUUAGAUGCUGACGACCGGCGCACGGGUGCGUAACGCGUAUGCAACCUACCUUAAACAGAGGGAUAGCCCCGAGAAAUCGGGAUUAAUACCUCAUAUUAUUUUAAUGUGGCAUCACAUUAAGAUGAAAGUUUUCAAUGGUUUAAGAUGGGCAUGCGUAACAUUAGCUAGUAGGUAAGGUAACGGCUUACCUAGGCUACGAUGUUUAGGGGAUCUGAGAGGAUUAUCCCCCACACUGGUACUGAGACACGGACCAGACUCCUACGGGAGGCAGCAGUAAGGAAUAUUGGGCAAUGGACGCAAGUCUGACCCAGCCAUGCCGCGUGCAGGAAGAAGGCGUUAUGCGUCGUAAACUGCUUUUAUUAGGGAAGAAACGUCGAUACCUGUAUCGGUCUGACGGUACCUUAAGAAUAAGCACCGGCUAACUCCGUGCCAGCAGCCGCGGUAAUACGGAGGGUGCGAGCGUUAUCCGGAUUUAUUGGGUUUAAAGGGUGCGCAGGCGGAUUAAUAAGUCAGUNGUGAAAUCUCUCG
rnacentral:rRNA from 1 species